UACGUAGGGGGCAAGCGUUGUCCGGAAUCAUUGGGCGUAAAGCGCGUGUAGGCGGCCCGGUAAGUCCGCUGUGAAAGUCCAGGGCUCAACCCUGGGAUGCCGGUGGAUACUGUCGGGCUCGAGUCCGGAAGAGGAGUGUGGAAUUCCUGGUGUAGCGGUGAAAUGCGCAGAUAUCAGGAGGAACACCAAUGGCGAAGGCAGCUCGCUGGGACGACACUGACGCUGAGACGCGAAAGCGUGGGGAGCAAACAGG
rnacentral:rRNA from 1 species